rnacentral:tRNA from 1 species
AUCAAGGUAGUAGAAGUUAAUAUGAAAGGUUUAGGACUUUUUGGUAAGAUUAAUCUUUCUUGAU